UAGGGAAUCUUCCACAAUGGACGCAAGUCUGAUGGAGCAACGCCGCGUGAGUGAAGAAGGGUUUCGGCUCGUAAAACUCUGUUGUUAAAGAAGAACAUAUCUGAGAGUAACUGUUCACGUAUUGACGGUAUUUAACCAGAAAGCCACGGCUAACUACGUG
rnacentral:rRNA from 1 species